rnacentral:hammerhead_ribozyme from 1 species
GAACUACUGAAGAGUCCCAAACUAGGACGAAACAGCUGUCCAGUAC